rnacentral:rRNA from 1 species
UACGUAGGGUGCGAGCGUUAAUCGGAAUUACUGGGCGUAAAGCGUGCGCAGGCGGUUAUGUAAGACAGGUGUGAAAUCCCCGGGCUUAACCUGGGAACUGCGCUUGUGACUGCAUAACUCGAGUGUGGCAGAGGGGGGUGGAAUUCCACGUGUAGCAGUGAAAUGCGUAGAGAUGUGGAGGAACACCGAUGGCGAAGGCAGCCCCCUGGGUCAACACUGACGCUCAUGCACGAAAGCGUGGGGAGCAAACAGGAUUAGAAACCCCAGUAGU